rnacentral:sRNA from 1 species
ACAGAUAUGCUUGUGUAAGGGUUUAUUGUUACUGAAGGAAGGCAGUAGCAGUUUAUACUUAAAUAUGAGGAACUGAGACAGGCACAGAGAGGUUAGGAGACUUGCCCACGGCAAUGCAGCUCGUAAGUGCUGGUGCCAGGAUUCAAGUAUGGCUGAGUGCUUGUCUUCAACCAUCCUAGAUCACCCCCUGUGGUGAAGUUCUAUUACAGUUCUUUACAUGCACAGUUCUCAAAAUAACCGUAUGUGUGUGACACCCAGCCCCUGCCAGUCCCCCAUGGCCCCGUGGAGCCGAGAGGCGGUGCUGAGUCUCUAUCGGGCUCUGUUGCGCCAGGGCCGACAGCUUCGCUACACUGAUCGAGACUUCUACUUUGCCUCCAUCCGCCGUGAAUUCCGAAAAAAUCAGAAGCUAGAGGACCCUGUGGCCCGGGAGAGGCAGCUGGAGAAGGGCCUGGUCUUUCUCAACGGCAAAUUGGGGAGGAUCAUUUAGGAUCCUCCAAGGGAAAGAGGACAAAGGUGCCUUCUGUAGACACUCCUGCUCUCUUCCGUCCCCGUCU